UACGGGGGGGGCAAGCGUUGUUCGGAAUUACUGGGCGUAAAGGGCUCGUAGGUGGCCAAUUAAGUCAGGCGUGAAAUCCCCAGGCUCAACUUGGGAACUGCGUCUGAUACUGAUUGGCUUGAAUUCGGGAGAGGGAUGCAGAAUUCCAGGUGUAGCGGUGAAAUGCGUAGAUAUCUGGAGGAACACCGGUGGCGAAGGCGGCAUCCUGGACCGGCAUUGACGCUGAGGCGCGAAAGCCAGGGGAGCAAACGGG
rnacentral:rRNA from 1 species